GUGACCGUAGCUCAGCAGGCAGAGCGUCUGACUGUGGAUCAGAUGGUCGUGGGUUCAAAUCCCACCGGUCACC
rnacentral:tRNA from 1 species